GUGGUGGGAGAGGUGUUGGCAAGAGCAGUGCUGCCACUGGGGCCUGGGGCUGACCCGUCCGACUUCCCGUCUGUGCCGAGUCCACUUGAGCCGCAGCCAUGUCCGGGGAUGAGAUGAUUUUCGAUCCUACUAUGAGCAAGAAGAAAAAGAAGAAGAAGAAGGCUUUUAUGUUAGAUGAGGAAGGGGAUGCCCAGACAGAAGAAACCCAGCCCUCAGAAACAAAAGUGGAGCCAGAGCCAACUGAAGACAAAGAUGUAGAAGCUGAUGAAGAGGACAGUAGGAAAAACGAUGCUUCUGACGAUCUAGAUGACUUGAACUUCUUUAAUCAAAAGAAAAAGAAGAAAAAAACAAAAAAGAUAUUUGAUAUUGAUGAAGCUGAAGAAGGUGUAAAGGAUCUUAAGCUUGAAAGUGAUGUUCAAGAACCAGCUGAACCAGAGGAUGACCUUGACAUUAUGCUUGACAAUAAAAGGAAGACAAAGAAGAAUGUCAAAUUCCCAGAUGAGGAUGAAAUUCUAGAGAAAGAUGAAGCUUUAGAAGAUGAAGACAGCAAAAAAGAUGAUAGUAUCUCAUUCACUAACCAGACAGGCCCUGCUUGGGCAGGCUCAGGAAGAGACUACACGUAUGAGGAGCUACUGAAUUGAGUGUUCAACAUCAUGAGGGAAAAGAAUCCAGAUAUGGUUGCUGGAGAGAAAAGGAAAUUUGUCAUGAAACCUCCACAGGUCGUCUGAGUAGGAACCAAGAAAACGUCUUUUGUCAACUUUAUAGAUAUCUGUAAACUAUUACAUCGUCAGCCCAAACAUCUCCUCGCAUUUUUAUUGGCUGAAUUGGGUACAAGUGGUUCUAUAGAUGGUAAUAACCAACUUGUAAUCAAAGGAAGAUUCCAACAGAAACAGAUAGAAAAUGUUUUGAGAAGAUAUAUCAAGGAAUACGUCACCUGUCACACGUGCCGAUCACCCGACACAAUCCUGCAAAAGGACACCCGACUGUAUUUCUUACAGUGUGAAACUUGUCAUUCUCGAUGCUCUGUUGCCAGCAUCAAAACCGGCUUCCAGGGCCGGCCGAAUCAGAUGUAUCCCGCCCCUUCUCUACAGUUUGGGAGACAAGUGGAAACACUAAACAUCAAAAACAGCCCCCAGUCCAAGAGAAAACCAACUCAGCAGAAUUAA